UACGUAGGGUGCAAGCGUUGUCCGGAAUUAUUGGGCGUAAAGAGCUCGUAGGCGGUGUGUCGCGUCGGCCGUGAAAAACCUGGGGCUCAACUCUGGGCGUGCGGUCGAUACGGGCAUCACUUGAGUUCGGCAGGGGAGACUGGAAUUCCUGGUGUAGCGGUGAAAUGCGCAGAUAUCAGGAGGAACACCGGUGGCGAAGGCGGGUCUCUAGUACGGUACUGACGCUGAGACGCGAAAGCGUGGGUAGCAAACAGG
rnacentral:rRNA from 1 species